rnacentral:tRNA from 1 species
GGCCCCGUAGCUCAGAUGGAUAGAGCAGCGGUUUCCUAAACCGAAGGUCGCGUGUUCGACUCACGCCGGGGCCACCA